UACGUAGGGGGCAAGCGUUGUCCGGACUUACUGGGCGUAAAGCGUGUGCAGGCGGGUGGGUAUGUGCCGGGUGAAAGCUCCGCGCUUAUCGCGGAGAGGUCGCGGUAGACAGGCUGCCUGGAGGCUCGGAGAGGUCAGUGGAAUUCUCGGUGUAGUGGUGAAAUGCGUAGAGAUCGGCAGGAACACCCAGGGGGAAACCAGCCGACUGGGCAUCUGCUGACGCUGAGGUGCGAGAGCGUGGGGAGCGAACCGG
rnacentral:rRNA from 1 species